rnacentral:rRNA from 1 species
GCCUACGGGGGGCAGCAGUAGGGAAUCUUCCACAAUGGGCGAAAGCCUGAUGGAGCAACGCCGCGUGGGUGAAGAAGGUCUUCGGAUCGUAAAACCCUGUUGUUAGAGAAGAAAGUGCGUGAGAGUAACUGUUCACGUUUCGACGGUAUCUAACCAGAAAGCCACGGCUAACUACGUGCCAGCAGCCGCGGUAAUACGUGGUGGCAAGCGUUAUCCGGAUUUAUUGGGCGUAAAGGGAACGCAGGCGGUCUUUUAAGUCUGAUGUGAAAGCCUUCGGCUUAACCGGAGUAGUGCAUUGGAAACUG